UCAUCUGAUGAGUCAAUCAACAAUCAACGUCAAGCUAGCUUCGAAAAUUACCAAUGAUUCAUAGGUAAACUCGAGUGAUUUCGUCUGUAAUAACUUGUCGGUGAUGUGUUCUAUUCCGUGUAUAUGUUGGAUAACCUUAAUAUUUUUCAUCAACUCACAGUCAGAGUUUACGUGAAAGUCAUGCAACCUACCGUCAACUAUUUUGUUCAAACUCAUUGUAUUCUACUGAAUGUGUCAGCAAAAUGAUACAGAUCACUGACCCCAGCAUCGAACAAUCUCUCAUUCCAUCUUAUAGAGAAUUUUGGAUAACUGAUUUGUGGUUUCAUGUGUUUCUAAAUUGGCAUGACUGACUAUAUGAGAAGUUAUGUCCUUCCAAGAAAAGGACUUGCAGUCAACAAGAUUCCUUGUUCGCUAACCUGUUGGGGGCUACCCAUGAAUCUCCUUAUUUUUCAACAACAAAAAAAGAGGUUAUAUAUUGUGAUCUUGCUAUCAUCAUUGUAAGUUGUGUUUACAUUGAAUUUAGAGAAGUUGUCAUACUAAUAGCAAUUUUAACGAUUGUUUGGCUUCUUAUUUAGAUGUUGCCUAUAAGACCAAAUGUGGGGCAUCUGGUUCUCCCUCCAAAAUAAGGCAAUGACCACACGUUCAACGCGGAUCAUUCGCUUUGUCAUCGAACUUGACUCAUUCCAUCUUCUGGAUUGCUUAGGAAAGCUGAUUAGUGUUACCUGUGUAACUUCAUUGUUAUGUCACUGAAUUUAAAUUUUGUUUGCAUUUUGUUUCUUGAUUUAGCCAUUUAGGUAAUGACCGAGAAGAUGCGGCCUACAUUAACAUCAUUUAGGCGGCCAGCAUCAUUCGACUACCCAACCGGCUUCUACUACCCUGUUCUCAACACAGCACGGAGUUUUACCCUUAGAUUUUUGGCUGUUCGCGAUGUGUGAUGGCGUUUCCUUGGACGAGAUGAUGAAUUUAGCGAGAAAAAUAUUGCGUUCUAACCUUCAGGUUCCUAAAUAUGAAAAGUAAUGUUCUUUCAAGAAAGUCAACAAGGUUCCUUACUCCCUUGUUUGCUAACCCAAUGGCUGCUACCCUUGAAUCUCUCUAUUUAGCUCCUUACACAGUCCCUCUUGAUUUGAGGGUAAUCCUUCGCUACUGAUCAUGGACUCCAUUGGUGAA